rnacentral:lncRNA from 1 species
AUUCUAGUCUUUCCUAAACACUCAGAUUACUCUAAACAUUACUAAAAAUCUCAGUAAGAAGCCUGAUUUGGAUACAUAAAGUGGUGGAGAAUCACCAGGAAGUUGAAUAAAUCUCAUAGGAGUUGGCAUGAAGAAGUUAUCCCACUUUCAAAUCAGUUGAUUCCAGUUUCCCAGUUUGGUAAUAGAACAGCUUCGUCGUCGUUCCAAUCAAACCACGAUGAAUCUCUCGGUAAGAAGCUUGAUUUGGAUACAUAAAGUGGUGGAGAAUCACCAGGAAGUUGAAUAAAUCUCAUAGGAGUUGGGAUGAAGAAGUUAUCCCACUUUCAAAUCAGGUGAUUCCAGUUUCCCAGUUUGGGAAUAGCACAGCUUCUUCGUCGUUCCAAUCAAACUAGGAUGAAUCUCUUUGUAAG